AUUAACUAUAAAAAAAAGUCAUUUCCCUCUUCAUAAAGUUACCCAUAAGCAAGGAUAUAGCUUGAGACGUUGAAAGCCAUGACAAAAAAAUAUACCUGGAAAUCAUUCUCUUCAAAGCAUGAAAUAUUAUCACGCCAAAACAAUGGA